rnacentral:rRNA from 1 species
AACGAACGCUGGCGGCAUGCCUAAUACAUGCAAGUCGAACGAAGGCUUCGGCCUUAGUGGCGCACGGGUGCGUAACGCGUGGGAAUCUACCCUUGGGUUCGGAAUAACAGUUAGAAAUGACUGCUAAUACCGGAUGAUGACGUAAGUCCAAAGAUUUAUCGCCCAAGGAUGAGCCCGCGUAAGAUUAGCUAGUUGGUGAGGUAAAGGCUCACCAAGGCUACGAUCUUUAGCUGGUCUGAGAGGAUGAUCAGCCACACUGGGACUGAGACACGGCCCAGACUCCUACGGGAGGCAGCAGUAGGGAAUAUUGGACAAUGGGCGAAGGCCUGAUCCAGCAAUGCCGCGUGAGUGAUGAAGGCCUUAGGGUUGUAAAGCUCUUUUACCCGAGAUGAUAAUGACAGUAUCGGGAGAAUAAGCUCCGGCUAACUCCGUG